AUUGCCGUGAGCUGCUUGGAAAGUCAACUCUGAGAUGGAGAUGAGCAUCCAGGAGUUUGUUGGGGCGUGUUCUUGGGACCACCCACUCUGGGAGUGGAGUGAGGGAGGUGGCCUGGGCAGGAGGAGAAACUGGCCUGUGAGGGGGGCCUCAACACAAGCCAACCCAAGCUCCCGUGGGGAGCCUCGAAGCCGGGCCAGGCCUUUCUACCUCUCCGUAAACAAGUCAUUGAACCUGGGCACCCUGGGAAGAGGACAUGACCAUGUUGAGAUGCCACUUUUCAUCUGAAGCAAGUCUGAGGAGGGCUGAUGGCUGGGGCUUUCUCCGGAAGCCCUCCUGGAAGCUUCAGGAAUAAUCCUGAUGGGUCUCUGAGGGGUACCCCACAGCAUCCCCACUGGAAGCGGACUGAGCCUGUCCCGGCUAACUUAGGCCACUGCUACCGUUGCCGCUGCUGCUGCCACCCCUGCUGUUACUUAAAAAUUCCUGAACAAAUGCUGAAAAGAGGUCACGCCUGAGACAGCAGCUAUACACGCGGAUGUCCCUGAGCAAAUCAGGAGGCAGCCACCCUGUCUGUAGCAGAGUUCAAGGCAUGAUUUCCAGGAGAAAGGACGACUUACGUUUACCAGCCUUGAAAGGAUAGAGAGGUUCUGUCAUCCACAGUGGAGCUACAGAUGGCAGAAAAGAUCAAAGGACGAUGAGGACUCUCAGGAGAAGCUGAUAAGGGAGACGGUUCUGGGACUCUUAGAUGUUGUAGACCUGGUAUUUCUGCCGUUGACAAGGUGCCUUGUGCAACCUUCAUGGACAGAUAAGUACAAUUUGAAACCUGUUAAAAAUUUUAUACUCAAGUGUGCUAAUUAAUGAGUUCAUGACAAUCUGGAUGGGUUUUUGGUGGCACGCUCUGAUCUGUUCCACAGUUUCACCAGCUUAUUAAGUUCUCAGAUGAUGAAGAUCUAGGUGGGAUGGAAAACAUGGCAGAUGGCAGAUGACGAAAAGAUCUCGACAAGUUAAAGUGAUGGACUGCAUCUAAUAGGACGAAAUGCAGUAGUAAUAAAAACAAUAUUCUGCAUCAGAGUUUCAUUUCUAAUUGGACAAAUACAGAAAGAAAAUGUGAUGCUUAGUAGCAGUUCAGGCACAGGAGUUAAUGCAUCAUGAGUUAAUGAGGCCGCCGGAGGGAUUCAUGAGUGUGUAUCAACAGAAGUAUAGUAUCUAAAACAAGGCAGAGACUGGGACUGCCCUGGUGUGCUUUUUGUGCUUCAGUGUGUGCAGACAAGGGACAUAGGCAAACUGGGCCGUGUGGCUAAACUAGAGGUGCUUCGUCAUAGGAUAAGCUGACACAUGCAUUAAGAGCUAUUGAAUCUGGAAAAGGCCUAUGGCACAAGGGGGCGCGGUGGGCAAUAAUGCGUCACAAAGUAUUUGAAGGGAUCACGCGUUUGAGAUUAGACUUACUUUGUAAGUCUUACCCCAAAAAGAAAAAAAUUAGGAUCCGUAACUAGAAGCCUGCCAGGAUAUAAAUUUCUGGUGUAAGAAACCACCUCAGGAGAGAAUGAGCUCCCCAUUCCAGAUGUCUUAAAAAUAAACUCCCUUGAUGAAAACGCUGUAAAGGGUAUUUACACAUUAUACUGGGUCGCUGACACUAUAAUUCUAUAAUUCCAAAGGCCAUAUAUGAGCCAGAACAUCCCAGCUCCCCCAUUGCCUGCCUGGCCCUUCCUGAUACAGUCCAUCCUUCUUUCCAUAAGCUUCAACGUUCUGUGCUUUGACUGAAGCCACAAAUUUGGCCAGUUCUUAUGUAACGGUGGCUCACUGUGUACCAUUCCAGGCACCUUUGUAACAUUAACCCAUGUAAGCCUCAUAACAUACUGUGAGGCAUUCAUGAUGACUAGCUCCCUUUGGCUUCUGAGGAAAUGGAGUGGAAGAGAGGUUACCUAACCUGCCCAUGUUCCCACGGCCAGGAAGUGGCAGAACUGGCACCUGAGCUCAGGCAUGUAUCUCUCCUUCUUAGAGACCUGGGCUACCCACAGCGAAUCUCCUCUGGGCAGAAGCGCCCUGAGAGGUAAUCUUUGGCUUGGAAUUGACACACUCUAGUUCUGAGACGUUCCAAGUCCAAAGUCAAUGGGGCAGGAAGGGAUACUCUUCUCUAGGAGGUCAUGGGAAGGAGUGAAUGUUUACUUAAAGGUAAUUUGAUCUUCCAUGAAAGGACUGGAUUUAGGCCAACUC